AGCGAAGUGGCCGAAAAAUUUAGGCAAUAAAUUGUAAAUUUAUUUAUGGAAAUCUUUCCCUUCGCUA
rnacentral:tRNA from 1 species